rnacentral:rRNA from 1 species
AGUGAACGCUGGCGGUAGGCCUAACACAUGCAAGUCGAACGGCAGCACAGUAAGAGCUUGCUCUUACGGGUGGCGAGUGGCGGACGGGUGAGGAAUACAUCGGAAUCUACUUUUUCGUGGGGGAUAACGUAGGGAAACUUACGCUAAUACCGCAUACGACCUACGGGUGAAAGCAUGGGAUCUUCGGACCUUGCGCGAUUGAAUGAGCCGAUGUCGGAUUAGCUAGUUGGCGGGGUAAAGGCCCACCAAGGCAACGAUCCGUAGCUGGUCUGAGAGGAUGAUCAGCCACACUGGAACUGAGACACGGUCCAGACUCCUACGGGAGGCAGCAGUGGGGAAUAUUGGGCAAUGGGCGCAAGCCUGAUGCAGCCACACCGCGUGGGUGAAGAAGGCCUUCGGGUUGUAAAGCCCUUUUGUUGGGAAAGAAAAGCAGCAGGUUAAUACCCCGCUGUUCUGACGGUACCCAAAGAAUAAGCACCGGCUAACUACGUG